rnacentral:misc_RNA from 1 species
UGCUGGGGGUGUCGGCGGAGG